GAUACAACUUUGCUGCCAUUAAUCUCUUAUGCUACUGUUAAGAUAGAUGAUUCCACCCUAAUACCUAUUUCACGGUGAUGAUGAAAACCCUACCCUUUUUUUUUAUCGACCACAUACAACUUCUCUUCUCUUUACUCUAUUUCUCUUCCUCUACGAUCCAACUCCACAUCCACAACCCACAAUCCUUCUUCUUCUUCUUAGAACUCGAUUUCUUGUUAAAUCUCUUAAGUCGAAACCGUAGAUAUGGUUUCAAUUAUAGAGUUGAGCAAGAGAUUAUUUGAUUGAUAUACAUGAGGAUUCAAAUUGAAAAACACAUGUAGCAAACCAUUUCCCAAUUUAAAGUCGUUCUUAAUCAGAUGCUGGAACUCCCAUAGGUAUUUCAAUUUGUGAACCUUCUCCCUUUGCGUGAGUAUUAUUUCACUUAAGUUAGCUCCUUCUGAUUGUAGUUAUACCAUCAUUUGUUAUUUUCUUUAAGAUUUCAAUGGACCCAUAAACACCAAAAGUAUUAUUAGUGAGUCAAUCUGUAUUGAGAAUUUUUGGUGAUUGCAUUAAUACUAAGUGCAAUAUGUUUGAUCUUGACAUUCACGACUCAACAAACUCUAGAGUUUUUGAUUUUGAGAUUUCUGCGGAAGUAUAGCUACUCUCCUACCUUCAGGGACGUAAUGUUGAGAACAAAGCUUUGGUGCACCUAAAGUUACUAAAGAUGGUAUUACCGUUGCCGAAAGCAUUGAGUUUAAGGACAAGGUUAAGAACAUUGGUGCCAGUCUUGUAAAGCAAGUAGCAAAUGCCACCAACAAUGUAGCUGGUGAUGGUAAGGCUUUAUCAUUCAUUACUUUGAAAUGUUUCGUCUAAGAUUGUAUGAAUAACUAUGAUGUUUCGAUAUGUCUGGUUUAAUAAGUAGUAUGGGAUUUAUAGUAGUAAAGAAUGGGUACUGGAUAUGAGCUAAUUCCAAGAUGGUUGUGGUGGUGACUUGUGGUAGUAUGAGGAUGGUACUGGAAAUGGUGGUGGUGACUUGUAGUAGUUCUGGGUUGGUACUGGUGGUGACUUGUAGUAAGAAGUAGGUUCUAGAGAUGGAGGAAGUGGUGAUUUGUAGAUGUGGCAGGUGUAGGAGGAGGUGGUGGUGACUUGUAGUACAAUGAAGUUGGUGGUGGUGACUUGUAGUACAAGCCUUAGUAUGUUAGAAAAACACUGGGCACUCGCAUUCCAUCAUGCAUCUUGGGGAGGUACUAACUGUAGUUGAUGUACGCUUCAGUUGUGCUAAUGUCUGUUUAGGGGGUCGGGGGCAAAUAUUAAACCCCAAGGGAUGUGACAGCUGGAUAGAGUAAUAACAUUAGGUCUUUGAUUCACAGUUUACUUACAUAUUUGUUUAUUUAUACUCAUUCCAUUUGAAAAGCUUAAGGCACACUCGUGGCUUCACUUGGACUUCUUCGUUUGACCAGCAAAGAUAAAAGGCAGGAAACUUGAACAUUCUUGAUUGGCUAAGGGCAGUGUUCGGCUUUCAGAAAAACAAUGUUAGGAAUCACAGGGAACGGAAGCCUUGAAAAUAAUCAUAUACAACAGGUACACAAGCCUAAUCCCCUUAACGAGGUAUAUGAAUUUUUUCCUACUCACGUGGUUAGUUUUGCAGUGGUGGCAUUUUUACCUAGCUUGGUGAUGUGAGCAUAAUGCUCCGAAUUUGGUCUAAUAUCCAUAUAAACUUUAUUAUUCAGCGAGUAUGGUUAUGUAUCUUACCCAUUUUUAUUUAUUACAUGGCUAUAAGACGUGUUUGAUUCACAAGAAACACCCAAAAGUUCUGUUGCGGAGCUUCAAUAUUGACUUUUUCGGAAAAUGUAUAUUGUAUGUUGAGUUACUGUACUAAUUUUUUAUUGGCCAUAGACUCGCUGAUUUUCAUUUCUGUUCGCAGGCUCUCUAGAUCUCCACAUUCAACUCAAAUGUUUAUUGGAUAUCGUGAAGCUUUCCAUUUAGUUAUCGAGACUGUUGAAUAAGGACCCAGCAAUCAUGGAGCGUCGAAUUGCUUUUUGGGAAAAGGAUAGAGUUAUACUGAAGUGCACAAGAAGAUAUUGAAUUAGAUAAGAAGCAAAUGGAUUCUGAUAAUCUUAUUACUGCUGGUACUCUUAGAUUUUUUGUAUCAACAUUGUCCUAUCUAUAUAUUUCUUCAUUCUCGCAUUGAAGCUUGCUAAGGAAAAUGGCACUGCAGAACAAGCUUCAACUUUACUUAAAGAAGACACCAAAAACAUGGGAGGCGCAGAAAUUGUUCAAGGGACUUUGCUGGUGAAGCUCUAUGAUAAUUUGGUGUGGUUCAACCUGUGGGUGGCGAAGAUUGUCGCAGAAUGCAUGCGUAAUUACCUGCUAUUUGAGCACUUGUUCCAAGUUCAUAUUGUUCCAACAGAGAAAGUUCAUCCUAAACUGUAAGCAAUUCUUUUUAUUUAUCCAAGUAUUGUAUGUAAAAAACAUAGUUGCACCAACACAAUGUAAGAAACAACAACAUA